rnacentral:rRNA from 1 species
AUUGAACGCUGGCGGCUGGCACGAGUGGCGGACGGGUGAGUAAUGUCUGGGAAACUGCCUGAUGGAUGGGGAUAACUACUGGAAACGGUAGCUAAUACCGCAUACAAUCAGAUGUGCCCAGAUGGGAUUAGCUAGUGGGUGGGGUAAUGGCUCACCUAGGCGACGAUCCCUAGCUGGUCUGUGAGGAUGACCAGCCACACUGGAACGGAGACACGGUCCAGACUCCUACGGGAGGUAGCAGGGGGGAAUAUUGCACAAUGGGCGCAAGCCUGCUGCAGCCAUGCCGCGUGUGUGAAGAAGGCCUUCGGGUUGUAAAGCACUUUCAGCGAGGAGGCGUUACUCGCAGAAGAAGCACCGGCUAACUCCGUGCCAGCAGCCGCGGUAAUUC